GAUGAACGCUGGCGGCGUGCCUAAUACAUGCAAGUCGAGCGAACAGACGAGGAGCUUACUCCUCUGACGUUAGCGGCGGACGGGUGAGUAACACGUGGAUAACCUACCUAUAAGACUGGGAUAACUUCGGGAAACCGGAGCUAAUACCGGAUAACAUGUUGAACCGCAUGGUUCAACAGUGAAAGACGGUCUUGCUGUCACUUAUAGAUGGAUCCGCGUCGCAUUAGCUAGUUGGUAAGGUAACGGCUUACCAAGGCAACGAUGCGUAGCCGACCUGAGAGAGGGAUAGGCCACACUGGAACUGAGACACGGUCCAGACUCCUACGGGAGGCAGCAGUAGGGAAUGUUACGCAAUGGGCGAAAGCCUGACGGAGCAACGCCGCGUGAGUGAAGAAGGUCUUCGGAUCGUAAAACUCUGUUAUUAGGGAAGAACAAAUGUGUAAGUAACUAUGCACGUCUUGACGGUACCUAAUCAGAAAGCCACGGCUAACUACGUG
rnacentral:rRNA from 1 species